rnacentral:lncRNA from 10 species
AGAACCAGCCCUUUUCUUACGCAGCUGGGAGCCUUGGGAGGACUACUCAGAUGAUAGGAACCAGUGGUUGAAAAAGAAAGAGAAACAAGAUGAAAGGAUUCGUGACUUUUCUGGGAAGUAUAAAAAGCUAUUUUGUGCCUCUUCUUUAUUUAGUUGCCAAUAGAUUGUUUUAUUUAUCUAUCUUGUUGUGUGAUAAAAUGCGAUAUGGGAGUAAUUGUUUUUCUUGUGUGUGCAUGCAUGUACGUAUUUCUAUUUUGAUGAAGUGCUGACCCUGCUGAUUCAGAAUACCUUUAAGUUUUACAAAGAUUUUGUUUUCUCCUGGCUUCCUCUUGCAUACACAAAGGCAGUAAUAGAGUGUCAUUUAAAUAAUAUGCCUUGGUUAGAACACAGCAAACUAGUUAAGAGAAACAUUUUAGAGGUUGACCUAAAAUACAUUAACUUUGAAAUAAAUAUACAUCUGGUAUAAAGAAUGAAUUUUACCAAAUAUGCAUAUCAGUUAUACCAACAGAUACCAUUUUGGGAAGAUACGUAUUCUGGUUUUAAAAAUAUUUUAGUUUGAGUUCAGUUGUAUUAUAGCUUACAUAAUACUAAUUAGAUGCUGGCUCAGAACUAUGUGUUAGUCAAAAAUUUUGGCUAGGUUCUCAUGAAAUAUCUGAAAGGCUAAAGAACAAUGUAAUUAUGCAUACAUUUAAAAUUUUGAAAGAAACAUCCCAUGUGCUACCUGACAGUGAAAUUGUCCCUGAUGAUAAGGAGAAAGGAUAAGAAGAUGCUGGGGACUGCCCGGUUCAGAGUGGACAUACUCAGGCCUAAUUCCUUAAAUAUUCAACUGAACUAGAUGAUGCUCUAUGAUCUAUAAGCUCUCUGUGCCUUGGUUUCUAAUAGAACAAAAUGUAGGGAGCAUCAAUCUCAUAAAUAUUUCUUUUCUUUCUUCUUUUUUUUUUAUAAACUGAAUGGAGAUUCCUGUGCAGUAGACUAUAUCAUAAAUGCUGGCAUUAGAAGAUUAGAAAAACUCCUGUCUUAUAAACUAUUUUAUAUUGGGUAUUUACUAUUUAUAGCUAACGGAUUUCUAAAUAUAUGAUUUGACCUGCUACAUUUAAACUAAGUAAUAAAAUACGUGUCAAAUAAUCCAAGUUAAUAUCCAAAGUCAUGACAUUAUCAAAGUUACAGUUUUUUCUUAAUCUGUCAAGAAUUUCAGUGCUAAAUUGACCUUAAUUUUUUAAAAAAAUAAUAUUUAGGUAACUUUCUGAUUACUCAAAAUAGUUCAGAACUGUAACUCAUGCUCCUGUGUGUGUGUGAUUUUUCUGCCUGUGCACUCUAUAACUGUGACUUGCUCAAGGGUGCUAAGAAGAGAGAAGCUGAUGUGGCUGAUGUUGGAAGGUGAUGAAUUCAUCCAUGGUAAAAGAAAUAUCCCUUAAGGCAGGGGUCUCCAACCCCUGGACCAUGGACAGAUCAGUGGCAGCAUCAGAUUCUCACAGGAGCAUGAACCCCACGGUGAACUCCACAUGCAAGGGAUGUAGUUGCGUGCUCCCUAUGAGAACCUAAUGCUUGAUGAUCCGAGGUAGAACAGUUUCAUCCCAAAACCAUUCCCCUGCCUCCGUAGAAAUAUUGUCUUCCACGAAACUAGGCCCUGGUGCCAAAAAGGUUGGGGCCUGCUGCCUUAGGGCAUGUCCUGUUACCAGCUUCCAGUUGCCCUUGAAGUGGUCUUCAUUAUCCUGGCUUUCUCUCCUCAGCCUCUUCUUCCUGCUGGACUUCCUACGGGCCUAUCCCUCACUGGCUCUGGGUCCUGGGCCUCUACCCAGGCCUGAGUCCAUGUGCUCAGAAAAGGUGUGGUUUCAUCCUUCUGGAGUACUGGUGUUCAUGUGACUGUCCUUUGAAAGAACAGGGCAAGAGUCAUCUGUUUUCUAUUAAACUUUAAUGACAUUUGAUACACACAAGACACUGAGAGAGGGGCAGAGAAAACUGGAUGUGCAGAUAAAAUGGAGACCAAAGUAGUACAUCAGGAGAGAUGUGAAGAUAUCCCAGUUUUACCCAGUAUCCCUGAAAGAAAAAGCUUCCUCUCACCUGUUUUGACUGUACGUGUGGCUGUGCUCUCUGGCUUCAGAAUUGCUUCUAUAGGAAGAAAUUAAUCAUCGAUUAUUCUACUAAAAUAGAUGUAACAUUCACUGUGAUCCGUUAUGUGAGCAACAAUGUGGAGUACUGGUAUAGAGUUUCGGGAGACCUGGGUGUUAAUUCUAGCUUAGUCACAUGCUACAUGUGUGAACUUGGGCAAGUUACUUGAUCCUGAAGCCUCACUUUUCUCCUUUGAAAAUGGGAAUAAUACUACCACCUACCUCCUGGAAUUGUAGUGGUGAAGAUUAAAUCAGGUAAUGUGCCAAGCACUCAGACAGCACUCAAUAAAUGUUAGUUAUUCUCCUUCAUGGUGAAGAGGGUAAGACUGGAUAAUUACAAUCAAAGUAAUUCAAGGGGCACGCAUUGCUGAAUGGGAAUGUCUUCACACUUUAUGAACAAUGAAUUUAUAUACAUAAGUAGAGACAUGGCCAAGGUUAAAGGUGAACAAAACUGACCUCUACCUUCCCCUUGUAUCAUACAACCCCCUGCCCCCCAUUUCUUUCCUGCCAGUUUGAAUCUCAGUGGUCUCAAUUUGCUUUCCUCCAAAAUAGUUCAAAACAAACAAAACAAAAAUAGAAUAAAGAUGGAUUGAGAAAAAGAGACGAACUUUGGCCCCAAUCCCUUGGUGAUGCCAGGUCCAAUAUAAUUACAUUCUACAAAUUCAAUGUAGUUUUUACCCUUUAAUUUAAAAUAAAGUUAUUAUAUGAAGACAUGUCUAUUUAUACUGAAAUGUUUAUAGCCAGU